GGUUGGUGCAAAAGUAACUGCGGUUUUUGCCAUAGUAAUGGCAAAAACCACAAUUGCUUUUACACCA
ensembl:miRNA